GAAAAUUAUUAAUAUAGUGUGCGACGAAAGUAAUUGCUCAAAUAUUUUAAUUGUUCAUAUAAAAAAAAAGGAAAUGUUGAGAGUGAAAAUAAAUUUUAUGAAAAUUUAAUUCCUAUAUGGAAAUUAAUGUGAACUGUGGCCAUAACCAUUUAGUAACCAAUCCAAAAGAAAAAUUAUUAAAGAAAACUUAAAAAAAAAUAUCAAACCGAUCCUAAAUGGGUAAAAUAAAAGAAAAGUGAAAAUAAAAUUAUUUCUCCAAUUAUAAUAUCUUUUGUUUUAAUUCAAAAUUAAUAAUUUUAUAAAUUUUCUUUUACUUUCAGCUAAUAAAAUUCAAUUGGACCUGGGAUUUGGCCUUGGUUAGCUGCUUCCGUUCAGGAAAGGCUACAAAUUCAGAUGGGACCUGGACCGGAAAACUAAAUAUGAAAUAAUUUGGACCAAAUUAUGAUUCAAAAAGGUGUUGGUAACAAUUCGUAUUUCCUACAGAAAAACAGCGAGACUGAGGAAGAAGCAACG